CUUAAACACGGGGACAGCUUUUUAAACACGGGACAGCACACAACAAGGAGUGGGCAGAGGGGAGGAGGGUGGCUGAGGCAGAGCCACGCCAGCACCAGUUUGGGGGCUGUGAGCUCCUUCCCCCCAGUGCUAGCUGCGAUAUUUCAGCUGGUGGGGACUCACGCCUGCACGAGCCCAUUCCUCCAGGUUGUCUUCCCCAGUCCUUCCCCAAACACAGCUCACGCUGCUGCAGAACUGGGCUCCGGCCCCAGGCCUUUCAUUGUUUCCAAGGUCAUUCGCUCUGCAGCGGGGCUGAAAAGCAGAAUUGCCUUUCUUUCACUGUUUAUGUCUACCAGAUACAUGCUGCUCGCUUUUUUUUUUUUUCAUUUGGAUCCGUUUUCUGUGCUGUCCUGAGAGAAAGGAGCGAAGCAAUUUUCUAUUUACUGCAAAAUUCCAAAUGAGCAAUUUUGAGGAUCUGGAGAUUGUCAGGGAGAGGUUACUGGACUGUGUACACGGAGGAGGAGGAGAGCAGAAGUGAUAGGAGAAGCGCACGGAGCAGGAGCAGCGAUGGCUAAAGCUUUUGCAGCCCCAUUGCUGUCUCAAGAAACCUUUGCCUUAAACACCCAAGACUGGUAACUAUUACGGGAUGUUUUAUAGGGAACCCAGCUGGCCCCAGAGACGCUAUCUGAGGAGCGAGCAGCAAAUUGCCACUUGCAAUCGCAGUCGCUCGAGCCCACGGUGCAGCUGGAUGUCCCCAUCCCUGUGCUGGCACGGAGUGCAGCCAGCACCAUGCCGGCACCGCGCAGAGCCUGCACCGUGCGCCGGGCACCAGGCAGGAGGGGAACAGGGAGCAGGACCGGCGCCUUCUCACACUUUGUUUUGCAUUUUCAGGAACACAAGUUGCCAUAGGAACCAAAGCCCGGGCUCCUCAUUAGCAGCCCUUGGUCUCGAUGUCAGAUUGAAGAAGUUGUUCCUUUGUGGUGCUGCGGGCUGCUGACACUGCUCCCGUCCCACUGCCUCCUGCCCGGCCAGGGGAGGGAGAGCCGUGCCUGGGGUGGCGGGACAGUGACAUCCCCUGGUACCACGGCAGUGCCUUGCACCCCUCUCCGAACUCAAGAAGGCAUCGGCCUUAAUUUUCCCUCCAGCAGCACCACUGGAAGCACAAAGUGCUUCUGCUGUUGGCAUCACCGUGCAGCACUACCACCGUGGCCAGCGUGCCCUUUUCACCCUCUCUCCAAAGAGGAACUACUUAAAGCAUGGCAUUGAACCAUUUUCAUCCAUCCAUCGAGGAGCUCCAAGCACUUCUCGUGCCUCCCAGGGCUCGCAGCAAGGAGGAGAGGAGGGGCUGUGGGCAGCCUGUGCUCCUUGCCUGGGCAGCAAGCCUGGAAACGUGCCGUGGGGUGCUCAGCGAGGGGGAGGCUCACGCCAGGAGGGCCGGACCCGACCAAACGUCUGGAAUUACAUCAGCACGUGCAUCGUUACCCUAGCGAUGUAAUGUCAUCAGCUAAUCCCCAAAGUGGAGUAAUCUUCUGUCACUGGGACAACACCGAAGGAAAGCAAACCUGGACCACUACCUCCUUGUUUGCCCAGAACUACCUAAUCCCAGAGAAGCAAGUUAAUAACGCACAGCAGCUCGGUAUCAGCUCGCUUUUAUUAAACUCCUUGCAUAACUCCUAGAUUAUUUUCAUCCCUGCCAACUCAAGCUGCCCCGCUCAGAGCCAGCGAGAAAGGACACAUCUGCAGGCGACGUUUUGUGAACAAACCUCAGGCUAAAACUCAUUGCCCUCGCUCUCUGAUGAAUUGUUUCAAAUAAUGACAACAUUGGUAUAAAAACGAAAGGAAAACCUGGGCCAGACGCAAGCAACGUUUGCGCAGGCCAGGCUGGGGAGGACUGACCGGGAAGGGGAGCAAACAUCCCUCGCAGGGUGCACCUCGGUCAGUGGAUACCUGCUGCCAUCCUGGCCAGCUCGCAAAGGAAAUCGUCAGAGCAGAGCUGGGGAUCCACAAACACAGGAGCACAGCCCCCCACAGACCGUAAAUAAACACCUACAAGCGCGUGCACUCUUAUUUUGCAUGCCUGAAAGCUAGAAGUAACGUCUGAUGCUCAGAAGAAAGGAAAUAUUUAGUUAAGAGAAAGAGAGAGCUGUAAGAAGGCAAGGCAAACACGGUAUAUUUAUUUUUUAUGGCGUAAAUGGAAAGCCCAAGCUUUCAGCUUCGCUGAAUUAUUUUACAGCGUAUCUCUGGCAGAAAUCGAAAAAUCUGUUUGCAUCCAGCCCCUCAAUUAUUGCACCUCGCUCUCCGCCGUGCCAAAAUGACAUCUUAAGAACUGGCAGAAAGCUUCGCCUCUGCUUCUCCCGUGCACACAGGAAGGCUGCUCCUCCCCGCUCAAAGGUGUUGGGAGAUUUUGCAGCUUGGGUCAAAGCAUGUUAAUAAAGCAGUUGAGUCUCCAUAUGGUAUUUUGGCACUAAAAUGUCAGCUGCUUUUCAGACACUGUACUUUAAUCAUUUCAGACAGGCCCCUUUUAAAUGGUUUGUUUAGUUUGCUUAGAGAAUAAUAUUUGUUAUUUGGUUUUUGGAAUGACUAAUAAAUGAACUGUCUUUGCUCAGGGAGAAUAAUGCCACUUAAGCAAAACCUAGUACUGCAGUUCAGAGCUAUUUAAUAAGAAAUACCUGUCAGUGUCAGAAUAUAUUUACUCUACAUUAGCUUUGAAGAAUUGCAGAAUUAGUUUUCCCCUUGCUAAGUUUACUUUAUGUAAAAUGUAACACAUGAACUGUGAAUAUGUGGACAGCAAACAGACUGUAUCAAUGAAUUCAUCCUCCCCCGGAAAAUGCUGACAGUGGCAAGAGAAACACCUCCGAACAGACAGAACUGACACCAUCAAAAGCGAAACGUGACAGCUGCCAAGGAUCCUUAGCCUCCUGCCUCCCCUCGCCUGCUUAAGAAUCGGAAUCGAAUCCAAGGAAACACGCUGUAGUCUAUUUAUCCUCUUGUUUAAUCCAAGGGGGGAAAGCAUCAGCAUAAUUAAACGCUUUUAACCUCUCGGUUUUGAUAACUCGCGAUCGGGAGGCAGCGGAGGAGCUCCGCGGGGAGCCGAGCCUCCCCGACCUGCCGCGGCUCGCUCAGCCUCGCCCCAACGCCGCCGCCUCGCCCGGCCUCGCGCCCGGCCUCCCUCCGAGGGACCCACGGAUGGCCCCCAGGACAAUUCCAGGUCCCGGCGGCAUCUGCUGCUCACCCUGAGGCAGGAGAGGCGAGGCAGAGGUCUCGUCCCACCGCGCCGUGCCACCCCGCUCCUGGUACCGACGCGGCGACGCGCUCGCUUUCACCGCCCAGGCACCGUCGCCGGCUCUCCAGCCAUCUGGGGCAGCAAGCGGCGAGGCUGAUGGUCGGCUGCGUGGAGAAGCGAGUUAUUUGCUUAGAAACUGUCUCUGUGGCAUCUUGACCAUCUGGAAAGAAUAUGGAAAUGAGACUUGUAGCGAGAUGGAGCUCCUCGGUUGAUAAAUUAACCAGGCAUCUCCAGAAGUAGGCGCAGCCGAUAGAAGGCUGCAUUUCCAAGCACGUACCAGCUUGCACACACGUAUGUAGGUGUGAGCGUAUGCAAUUUCCCAUCUCGCCCACACGUCUGGGUACCUAAGUCACACUCCCGCAAAGCUGCCCAGGUUUCUAAGCAAAUAAAGCAAAACUUUCAGCCGUAAAAUUCAUGUGCGCUGGAACGAGGGCCAGACGGGGCUGGGCUGUAAAGGACCGGCUGCGGGUCCAGCGCUGCACAGAGAGCAGGGCUGCGAGCACCCCGCUGUCCUGCGGGGGCUGAGCAUCACAAGUGGGGUGUGAGUGUGCCCCCCAGCACCCUAAAGUCCCCCCAAGGCUAUGGCAGCAAGCGAGAGCCCUGGUACAGAGGGGAAACAAAGCAUGCAGCCUGGCACAGACGCAGGAACCUCUCAGCUCUCGUGCCAGCCCCUUACUAACCAAAAUAUCAUGCUAGGCUGAAGUGGAGCUGGCUUCCUCGAGCGUGACUCAUAGCGUUUGCUGACUGCCAGGAGAGUUCCCAGGAACUGGGGGCAGCGGGACAGAAAUUACAGUCGGCCUCCUGAGCACGGUAAUUUGUGCCAGAGUUCAGUGGCUCCCCAGAUCACCCCAAGAGAGGACAAUUAGGGCUGGCUUCAAGCCAGACGCAGGUCGCUGGGAGCAGAGCACGGAGCCCCCAAGUUAAGCACUGAGAGGAGGCAGCCAGCAGACUUGAGAGAAGGAGGUUGUGAAAUAAGCAAGGUCCCUGAAACAGGCAUCCUGCCUUUCAAAUGCAAAUGCCAUCCCAAGGAAGGUGUUUUGCUCUGCCAGCCUCUGAGUGCUGACUUUUGAUCAUCUGAGUGGAGAAAACGCACCCAGGAGUGCUGGCACAGAGAAAGGCCUCUGAGGGCUGGGCUCGGAGCAGAGCGAUGGCACGGGGAGAUGUGCUCCCAGCGGCACACAUUGGGCAAAACGCUGCUUUGUGCGUGCCAAGGGACCACGUGCAUCCGCAUGCCUCUGCCAUGCUGAAAUGCACGUGGCAAAAGGCUACCUCCUGCUAAGGAAGUGCCAAAUUUCCCCAUGUAGGUGGUGCACCUGGUACCUGCUUCUCCCCUCAAUGCCACAUACAACCAGCGAUGUACAACAGGGGUCAGCUGCUCCAUCGCCACCUUCCUGGUGUCCCAACAAGACAUUUUGCCUGAUGCAAAGGUGGACUGGACAUCUGGCUGUCCAGCUCUAACCUGAACUUCUCAUACCAUGAAACACCAACGUGGGAUCUAGACAAAGCAACAGCCUACCUUGCCAGCCCUGUGACAACCCCUCCGGGGGCAUGGCUGCUGCUGAAUUCCCAAAUCAUUUCUGAGCUCCACGCAGUCUCGCUCCAUCUGAUGGGUUCAGCACCUUCCCCCCAGCCCAGCACCUUUUUCCCAUCACCUGUGGUCUUUUAACUGGGAAUUAUGGGCACCGUGGAGUUGGAGGUUGUCUCUGGUUGAGCCUACCAGCACAGGGCAGGGACUCCUGGUGAGGGGUUGCUGUGCCCAAGCUGUGCCAGUGGCCAGCAGACGAGUGGCUCCUUCCUUGAAGGCUCAGCCGAGUCUGACAGUCUCCUUCAUGCUGGCGUUAGUGAUUUCUGUGUGCUGAGGGACAGCAGAAGAGCAGCAGCCAAACAUCUGUCUCCUGAGCCCAUGGUGCAGACUGUUGAAGUUUUUAAUGCUUUUAUUGUUUUGGCCUCUACACAUAGGAAUUGCCUCAAGCUCAGGUGUGCCCAGAUGCCUCAGAGAAACGCAUGGGACCUCAGAGUGAGAUUUACUGGCCACAAUAUUAUGUAAACAUUUACAUAC